rnacentral:rRNA from 1 species
AAUGAACGCUGGCGGUGGGCCUAAUACAUGCAAGUCGAGCGAACACACAAUAAGCUCUUGCCUCUGACGGUAGCGAGUGGCGGAUGGGUGAGACAUACAUCGCCAUCCAAUUUUUCGUGGAGGAUUUCGUAAAGCCGCUUCUAAUACCACCUAAUAUGUCCUACGGCUGAGUGCAGGAGUUCAUCGCGCCUUUCCUGUUUGUAUUAGAUGAUGUCGGGCCGCAUUAGCUAGUUGGUAAGGUAACGGCUUACCAAGGCGACGAUGCGUAGCCGACCUGAGAGGGUGAUCGGCCACACUGGAACUGAGACACGGUCCAGACUCCUACGGGAGGCAGCAGUAGGGAAUAUUCCGCAAUGGGCGCAAGCCUGACGGAGCAACGCCGCGUGAGUGAUGAAGGUCUUCGGAUCGUAAAACUCUGUUAUUAGGGAAGAAAAAAUGUGUAAGUAACUACGCACGUCCUGACGGUACCUAAUCAGAAAGCAACGGCUAACUACGUG